rnacentral:rRNA from 1 species
CAGCCGCCACGGUAAUACGAAGGGUGCAAGCGUUACUCGGAAUUACUGGGCGUAAAGCGUGCGUAGGUGGUGGUUUAAGUCCGUUGUGAAAGCCCUGGGCUCAACCUGGGAAUUGCAGUGGAUACUGGGUCACUAGAGUGUGGUAGAGGAUAGUGGAAUUUCCGGUGUAGCAGUGAAAUGCGUAGAGAUCGGAAGGAACAUCUGUGGCGAAGGCGACUAUCUGGGCCAACACUGACACUGAGGCACGAAAGCGUGGGGAGCAAACAGGAUUAGAGACCCCCGUAGUCCCUGUCUCUUAUAC